CCACCACCACCACCACCAAAGCCUUCCAUCAGCUUUGUUUUGCAAGGCAGAAACCGAGGCACAGACGGGCUAAGGGCUUCCCAAGUCAUACAGCACCCCAUUGGUAGGACUACCCCCGCCAUCCAAGGCCCUGGCCUUUGGCCUGCUAGACUCACCUGGGCCUCAUCUAGUGGGGAAGACUUAGCCAAGAGCUGGGUAGAAGAGGAAUGAGUAAGGGAGCAGAGGCUGUGCCAUCAGGCUCCAUUUUCACAGAACAGGCUGAGUAAUGGCCCCCAUAGGUAAAUAGCUUGGUAGCCAUAGUGCAGAGCUACUGCCUCUGGUCCCAAUCUAUGCCCUGCCAAGCCCCAUUUCUGCAGGGAUAUCAUUGCUCAUCUUAAAGUGGUAGGCCAGACCCUGGCAGUGGUGAUGGUGGUGGUGGAAGUGGUGGUGGUGGUGGCAGCUGUGGUGGGGAGGCUCUAACAUCCUGAAAGCCAUCUACAGAGGACAUUGAAGACGGGGUGGGACUAAAGCUCAUGUCCACUGUGGUGGCAGAUCCUCUGGGCAUGUAAGCCUCUGUUGCUUUUGUAGGCCCAGAGCCCUUCUCCUUACACUCCCUGUGACUGGAGUGAAGGAGUGGGUAGUUGGCCUGCAGCUUGGGCGUGGCUUGCUGGGUGGAGGUGGCCAGGCUCAGGGCUGCCUGGGCUAUGACACUUCUGUGAACCUCACUCCCUCUGGGUACCUAUUAGCAUGCUACUCCAAGGGGGGCUGGUAAACGUUAACUGGCCUUCCGGCCUUUAGCAGCCAGGGGGUCAGGGAAAGGUCACUGAAACCUGCAGGAUUGAUAGUCUAGGCAUCAGUCUCUACCCAGUUCUUCCAGGGUGAGAACGAACCACCGGGAGCCCAUUUCCACAGAAAUCCUUUUCAGGGGUCUCUUUACUAUGGGCCCGGUCUUCUCCAGCCUCUAAGUCCACAUCUGGGGUUGGGAAGGUGUGUAGCGAGAGCCAGUGGGCAGACUCUGAAUAGAUGGCAGGCCUUGGAAUUUGGGGGCCUGGCCAGGUGUGACCCCAGUGCCUGACCUCUGUGGCCUGGAGGGUAAAGAGGUGGGAGGUGGGGGUUGGGAGGAGGUUACUGGCUAACAGUUACCAGGACCUUUGAAGCUAUAAAUGCUUCCCCGGGCCCCUGCUGGGAUGGAUGGGGUCAGAGUUCACUGGUUGUCUGGCUCUCCAAGUGGGCUGGAAAUCUUGCAGGCAGAUGGAGUAGGGACCCAUGGAAUGGGACAUUCCCAGAGGUGGAAGGCUCAUGGGAAAUGUUAUUUUUGGUGCUCUGGCUUGGCUCAGGCCCAACGACUUGGAGGCCUUGGGAGGGGCUGAUAGAAGUUGUUUUUGUCACAUACUCACUCGUCUCUCGGGUAUGUUUCCCAAGUUGUGUUUGGUCACACCAAGAUCGGCUUCUGAAUGAUGGAGACCUUGCAGUCGGCCUCUGCCUGACCUGGCAAGGAGGAAGAACACGGUCGGGUCUCCUGAUUCAUUGUGUCUCAAUGGGUCCAGUAGACUGGAUAACGGGGUACAUAUGAAAAAAACGGGGAGCAAGAGGAGUCAACAUUCAGGCCUUCAGCACCCGAAUGGACUAAGCUUACUGAAGUCACCGGCAGAAGACAUACACAAGCGGCACCAGAACCCUCAGAACUAACAGAAAUACAGACGGAAGCAGAAAAGCAGCGACGAUCCCAGAAAAUGGCUGUUAACAUAUCGAUGCCGUAAGACUUUAAGAUCGCCUGAAAUUGAUUCUCAUAAUUUCCCCCCGGCGCUUGAGAUUGUUUUCCCGUUGCUCUUGCAGCUUCUGCUGGACGCGGUAGCUCAAGUGGAGUCAAUGUGCGUUCAGACCUUCGAGCUCCCACCUCACGCCUGAGCAUGCCACCACCCGCUUGCUCCUACCCAGACUGCAGUGACUUAAGAUGCACUGACUCUCGUGUCCUUUCCACCCAGAUUGUCCUUUAAAGCCACAUACCUGCUCUUAUCUUUCUUGCGGACUCUCUGCUUGUUCCUUCUCGCGUUAGGGAUGACUUAGAGGCAGUAUCGACCCCAUGCUUCUGCCCCCAUUGCUCAGGAUCCGUUGCCGCACAUCCUUCUUACAACCCUUGGAGGAGCUGCAUCGCUGUUUGGCUCCAAGUCUAUGCAGAUGACUUCACUUUCCUCCCAGCUGGUUCAUGUGGACUCAGGUCUGGCUUCAAACGCAGUACCUCCGAGAAGCCUCUUCUUGAUCAUGGCCCUGUUUCCACUCUCCGUGACGGAGCUGAUUGUAUUUAUGCCACCAUUCGGGUGGCUGUCGUGUAGUAACUCUGUCUCUGUUUCUUAGUCUAUUCUUGAGCAACUUUAGCGGACUAUCAGAGUGGAUAAUUUAUAAGGAAAAUUAUCAUAGACCGCUUGUGAUUAUGAGGCCGUGAAGUCCAUCUGGCAAGGGCUCCAUGCUGUACCACAUCCCAGUGGAAGACAUUUCAUGGCAAAAGAGCUCUCUCGAGGAUGGAAAUACGAGCACCGAAGAAGUUGAGUUUGAUCCUUAACAGACACAGCCCACAGCCACGCUUGGCAAUCUUGAGGAUAUUGCCCUCGUGCCCAAUUUCCUUUUAAAGUCCAACCUCUAAACGCUGUCACCAAGGCACUGCAAUUUCAAUAUGACUUUCAGAUAGCGUUUUUAUAUCAUAGUGCCCCGUGCCCCAUACACUGGACAUAAGGCAGGGUGAGCCCAUUUUGCAAACCACAGUAUUUGUUCCUCCUGGCAGCCCUCCCUUUCCUCCCCAGGGGAGCCCAGCUCAUAAAAAUCCACAAAGCUCAUGGCACAUAGCGACUGGCAGCUGUUGAGGAUUCCACCUUCAACAGUAUGUGGAGAGAUGUCAAUGGAUAAGAUGGGCCCCUGAGCUGUCCAGUAAGGUAGAUCUGUGAAGCACAGCUUUGCUACUUUGCUUUUGAUAUACGAAAGGCAAGUCCCAUUCUGGACAGAGCAUCCGGGAUUGAACUCCUUCGUGGAGCCAAGCUUCCACCUCAGCCCUGUAGACUGAUGUGCUCUGAAAGAACUUCUAUAAGUUAGAGAGAGGUUUACCUCCCUUAAAACAGUUAAGUAUUGAUUGUCUCUGUUCUCCAGACAAACAUCAAGUUCGCUCGAUAACUACUUAAUACAUACUGGCAUUCUAUAUAGCAGUAGGGUGCCAGGCAGUGGGUGCAGAGAGCUGAAUAGGCACACGGGGAGAGCUCAGCUGGGAAACACUAAUUACAGCUCACAAAGUCCGCUUAUGUAGUCAUCUUGAUUUGUCACAACAACUUUGUGACGCAUGUGCCAUUAGGACCACUUUACAGUUCAGGAAACGAAGGCUUGGUGAGUUUGCAUUUGAAGGAGUUACAGCCCAAGGCCAAAUGUUUUCACUUCGACUCCAGGUCGACUCUUGAGGAAGCUGACAGUAUAGAUUCGCUGCUCCACGGAGUCUCAUGGUUCAGUCCCCAAGCCCUCCACGCUGAUGAACUUGGUCCCAGCACAUAUGAUGGCGCCCAAGCAUCUUGUUCGGACCCAGUCACGUGGAAACAGCCCUGCCAGUUGCAGAUGGUGCUCCAACGGCCAACUAGGAAAGGCAUCAGCCCUGAGAACUGGAGUCUAGAGAGGAAUUCAGGGUGGUUAUUCAUCCUGGGCAUCAAAGCUGGUGGCUCAGCCAGUGACCUUUAUUUCAGGACAGUUCAAGAGGCAUGUUUUCAUCAGCCACUGCGCAGCGAGAGAAGAUAGACGUACUGAUCCCAAGCACUGAGUGUCUAACGCGGGGGCAUCUCAGCAAAUGGCUUCAUGGUUCACAUUACAUGGUACUCAUGACCCUUGGAAAAAAUUCCGCUCCAGGACUGACAGAUCUAUAGCUUUCUGGCUUCACAUGCAAGGCAAGCAAUCUUUGCCUCUCCUUUGUAGUUUUCUCUUACUGGUCUUGGCUUGGUUGGGCAGCGUAAACACAGUGCCUUUGCUCUGGGGCAUUCCGUCAGCUAUUAAGUGUGCAGGGAGUCCCCACUUGAGCCUUAGCCACACUUAGACAUGUCUGAGCAAGCCUGGAGAGCUGUGAUGUGGGUCUGCUAGCAACCGAUGUGUGCCUGAGCCUCCUGGGAAGGAUGAAAGAAUCGGGCACAACCUGGGUAACGACAAUGUUGCUCGCUUGUAGCAAGAGAUGAGCAAUUGAACACUGGUGAGAGGCCACAACUGCAUUCAGCCAUAACUCAGCCCCCACUGGACUUCUUAGGAGAUUUGGGGGAUGAAUAGGAAGUGUACAGGAGAUUGGGGGGUGGGGGGAUGGGGAGCAAGGGAGGGAGGGAAGGAAAGAGAGAACGAGGGAGAGACUAUGGUUUAAUGCAGUACACUGCAAUCACCGGGAAUCACUGGUCUUGAGAACUAACCAUAGUAGAGAGAGGCCUUGCCCUCAACUCUAUGGCACAGCCUAAGCUUCUAAGGCCUCCAGCACCUCUGAAGUUGCAAGGACUUGAGCGCUCAGCAAGAGGUAGCUGUUUCCAGAGUCCUAGUAAGAAAUCUGAAGCAACCCAAGGAGAAAAAAAUUAGCCAGUGAUUUGUGUAGCUCUCAGGUCUCAUCAGAGCUAUCUGAUGAGAAGGGAAGCCCCAUCCCUUCCACCAGGGCUCAGAGAAUAUCUUGGAAGAUGGUACAGAAAGACUGCAAAAGCUAUUAAGAAUGCUGCACUCAGGAACCCGCAGCCACAGCUGGCAUGAGACUUGCACAAGAUCAAGCUAGUCAACAUUCUAGCAUAGAGGGGCUCAUGAGCCCCUACACCUAGCUGAGGAGCUAUUCAACAGUUGACGGCUGGCAGGGGAGAGAGAGUCAGUUUCUUAGUCCAAUGGAUGGACCCAUACCCACGGAUAUAUAGAUUCUGUAGAUUAUUGAAGAAGGAGAGAGG
rnacentral:sRNA from 1 species